rnacentral:rRNA from 1 species
UACGAAGGGGGCUAGCGUUGUCCGGAAUCAUUGGGCGUAAAGCGCGUGUAGGCGGUCCGGUAAGUCCGCUGUGAAAGUCGGGGGCUCAACCCUCGGAUGCCGGUGGAUACUGUCAGGCUUGAGUACGGAAGAGGCGAGUGGAAUUCCUGGUGUAGCGGUGAAAUGCGCAGAUAUCAGGAGGAACACCAAUUGCGAAGGCAGCUCGCUGGGACGUUACUGACGCUGAGACGCGAAAGCGUGGGGAGCAAACAGG